UAGUUCGAAUGUGCUUGGCCAAGG
rnacentral:piRNA from 1 species